GAUUAAAUGGCUGAAUAAUAGGCAAUAGAUUGUAAAUCUAUGUAUGGGUAUAUGACUCUUUAAUUA
rnacentral:tRNA from 1 species